AGCGUCUUAGCGCAGUCGGUAGCGCGUCGGGCUCAUACCAAUAAGACACCCGAAGGUCCCUGGAUCAAGACCAGGAGACGCUA
rfam:Rhodosporidium toruloides NP11 unplaced genomic scaffold Scaffold50, whole genome shotgun sequence.